GAAAUGAGGCUGCAGAUUUUUCCCUCCCUUGAUGUACCAUUGGCAUGGUCUUCUUGCAUUUAUUUUUCACUGUGGCUUGAAAAUCCUCUCUAGCUCUGGGGUAGUACUUUCCAUCUUUUGCCCUGAAUCCCAGUGUCAUCUCUGGGAAGUUAGCAGCAUAUGUGAGAGUCUGUGCUUUACAAGUCUGAACAAAACAGAGUGUGGAAUAAGAAAGAGUAUGUGAAACAUUGUACAUUGAAAUGCCAAAAGCAGAGUGUCUGGCAUUGGUUAGCAGUGUAGCUUACACUGUAGAUAUUUGAACAUUCAAGAUGAUUGGGCAGCCUCUCUUAAUGCCUAUACUAAGCAUUGGUGAAUACUGGUGACCUUCACAUGUCUUGGGGUAGAGGACAUAAUUGAACAUUUUCAGCCUCAUUUUUCUCACUGGGUUCACCUUUAGCCACUCGAUGUUGCACUCCAGCACUCCUCUCUCUGCCCAGUGGGUAAGGAGGAGCAUUCACACAGACAGACUAGUGAUUUUUUUAAACACUCCAUUAUAUAUUUGGGCAGGAGGUCUGCCUGAGCACUUGGUUAUCUCAUAUCCUCAGGAAGUGACACAAAAAGAAUCAAGGAGGGCCUCUCAGCUUACAGUCUUAGAGUCCAAGGAGGUUAAAGAUCCCAAUGCAGUCCAUGAAUCCAGAACCAUCCAUAGCAUAUGUGAGCCCCAGGGCUCUACGAGGCUGAAAUAGAAAGGUGUUCUUGAGGCAAGUCUAGAUGUCCUGAUGUUCCAGACUUAGAAGUUGUGUGUUCUUGGACUAAAGAUUAAUCGAUGGUGAAAAUUAGGGGAAUCGUCCCCACAUCCCUGAGCUGAGUGAAGUCUGUCCCUUUAUAAAGUCCAUCAAAAAAGAGUGAACUUGUGGCUGUACUCAUAGAUGUCAGUGGGGAAAGGAGGUUCCCUAAUGGAGUAUCGGAAAUUACUAAAGCCUAGGAAAGCAGAGAAUAUGAACUUACACGAUCCAUGGUAGCAAAAGUAGGAUCCAACUGACCAGAGGAGAAAGUGGUAGCCACAACUCGGUGUCUAGUGAUCACAGGAUCAUAGCCUUAGAGACCAUAGAGUCCAACCUCCUCAUUCUUCACAUGAGGAAACAGGCAUAGAGAUGCAGUGACUUGCCCAGGAUCACAGCUAAUGUUCAAGGUAGAAUUUGAAUCCCAAUCUGGUCUUCUUGACUCUUAAGGCCAGCCUAAUAGCAGCCUAUUUCACACUACCUUUGAUUUACCAACUUGAGUUUGGUAUAACUAAAGGUUUCUGGUUAGUUUGCAAUGGCUUAAUGCCUUGGUUUCCCCAAUUGUGAAAUAGAAACGAUCAAGUGAAAGGUAAAUCCUGAAGUGUGAAGGACAAGGGCUAUUGUUGAAAUCACUUGAAUGGAUCAGACCAAAUCUUUUCCGAAUCCCAGUCACUCUAAGUCAGUACAAAACAGAGGACUUGGCCACUGUGUGAACAAUAAAUGCAAAUUUCCUUUCCAAGACCAUUGGUUGAGAGAAACACACCCAUCAAGUCUACUACUGGGGCUGUAGAGUGGAGGGAAGAUCACAGUAAGAAAUCCCAAACACCCCUCUGACUGUUCUUGAAAUAGGAACAGAAAUGGGCCCUUUCCACAAGCAAAGAAGUGCUUACUGAGUACCCCCCACUUUGGUAGCAUGUUUCUGAUUCACAGAAGUAGAUGGGUAGAAUUGAGUCUACCUACCUUUUGUUGGGAUCACUGCACUUUCGCCAUCUCAACAUCAACC
ensembl:lncRNA